UACGUAGGCAGCAAGCGUUGUUCGGAAUUACUGGGCGUAAAGCGUGCGCAGGCGGUUCGGAAAGAGAGGUGUGAAAUCCCAGGGCUUAACCUUGGAACUGCACUUCUAACUACCGGGCUAGAGUACGUCAGAGGGGGGUAGAAUUCCACGUGUAGCAGUGAAAUGCGUAGAGAUGUGGAGGAAUACCGAUGGCGAAGGCAGCCCCCUGGGAUGAUACUGACGCUCAUGCACGAAAGCGUGGGGAGCAAACAGG
rnacentral:rRNA from 1 species